rnacentral:tRNA from 1 species
UCCCUGGAGGACUAGUGGUUAGGCCCCAGUGCUCUCACCGCCGCAGCCUGGGUUCAAUUCCUGGCCGGGGAA